rnacentral:rRNA from 1 species
AGCGAACGCUGGCGGCAGGCCUAACACAUGCAAGUCGAACGAACUCUUCGGAGUUAGUGGCGGACGGGUGAGUAACACGUGGGAACGUGCCUUUUGGUUCGGAAUAACUCAGGGAAACUUGUGCUAAUACCGAAUGUGCCCUUCGGGGGAAAGAUUUAUCGCCAUUAGAUCGGCCCGCGUCUGAUUAGCUAGUUGGUGAGGUAACGGCUCACCAAGGCCACGAUCAGUAGCUGGUCUGAGAGGAUGACCAGCCACACUGGGACUGAGACACGGCCCAGACUCCUACGGGAGGCAGCAGUGGGGAAUCUUGCGGAAUGGGCGAAAGCCUGACGAAGCCAUGCCGCGUGAAUGAUGAAGGUCUUAGGAUUGUAAAAUUCUUUCACCGGGGACGAUAAUGACGGUACCCGGAGAAGAAGCCCCGGCUAACUUCGUG